rnacentral:rRNA from 1 species
AGAGUUUGAUCCUGGCUCAGAUUGAACGCUGGCGGCAGGCCUAACACAUGCAAGUCGAGCGGAUGAAGAGAGCUUGCUCUCUGAUUCAGCGGCGGACGGGUGAGUAAUGCCUAGGAAUCUGCCUGGUAGAGGGGGACAACGUUUCGAAAGGAACGCUAAUACCGCAUACGUCCUACGGGAGAAAGCAGGGGACCUUCGGGCCUUGCGCUAUCAGAUGAGCCUAGGUCGGAUUAGCUAGUUGGUGAGGUAACGGCUCACCAAGGCGACGAUCCGUAACUGGUCUGAGAGGAUGAUCAGUCACACUGGAACUGAGACACGGUCCAGACUCCUACGGGAGGCAGCAGUGGGGAAUAUUGGACAAUGGGCGAAAGCCUGAUCCAGCCAUGCCGCGUGUGUGAAGAAGGUCUUCGGAUUGUAAAGCACUUUAAGUUGGGAGGAAGGGCAUUAACCUAAUACGUUAGUGUUUUGACGUUACCGACAGAAUAAGCACCGGCUAACUUCGUGCCAGCAGCCGCGGUAAUACGAAGGGUGCAAGCGUUAAUCGGAAUUACUGGGCGUAAAGCGCGCGUAGGUGGUUUGUUAAGUUGAAUGUGAAAGCCCCGGGCUCAACCUGGGAACUGCAUCCAAAACUGGCAAGCUAGAGUAUGGCAGAGGGUGGUGGAAUUUCCUGUGUAGCGGUGAAAUGCGUAGAUAUAGGAAGGAACACCAGUGGCGAAGCGACCACCUGGGCUAAUACUGACACUGAGGUGCGAAAGCGUGGGGAGCAAACAGGAUUAGAUACCCUGGUAGUCCACGCCGUAAACGAUGUCGACUAGCCGUUGGGAUCCUUGAGAUCUUAGUGGCGCAGCUAACGCAUUAAGUCGACCGCCUGGGGAGUACGGCCGCAAGGUUAAAACUCAAAUGAAUUUGACGGGGG